rnacentral:rRNA from 1 species
UACGAAGGGUGCAAGCGUUACUCGGAAUUACUGGGCGUAAAGCGCACGUAGGCGGAUUUGUAAGUCAGGGGUGAAAUCCCGGGGCUCAACCUCGGAACUGCCUUUGAUACUGCAAAUCUCGAGUCCAGAAGAGGUGAGUGGAAUUCCUAGUGUAGAGGUGAAAUUCGUAGAUAUUAGGAAGAACACCAGUGGCGAAGGCGGCUCACUGGUCCGGUACUGACACUGAGGAGCGAAAGCGUGGGUAGCAAACAGG